rnacentral:rRNA from 1 species
UACAGAGGUCUCAAGCGUUGUUCGGAUUCAUUGGGCGUUAAAGGGUGCGUAGGCGGCGCGGUAAGUCGGGUGUGAAAUCUCGGAGCUUAACUCCGAAACUGCAUUCGAUACUGCCGUGCUUUGAGGACUGGAGAGGAGAACUGGAAUUUACGGUGUAGCGGUGAAAUGCGUAGAUAUCGUUAAGGAAGACCAGUGGCGAAG